rnacentral:rRNA from 1 species
UACAGAGGGUGCUAGCGUUGUUCGGAAUUAUUGGGCGUAAAGGGCGCGUAGGCGGCCCUGUGUGUCGGGUGUGAAAGCCCACCUCUUAAAGGUGGAAUUGCAUUCGAAACUACAGGGCUGGAGUGUCGGAGAGGAUGGCGGAAUUCCUGGUGUAGAGGUGAAAUUCGUAGAUAUCAGGAGGAACACCGGUGGCGAAGGCGGCCAUCUGGACGACAACUGACGCUGAGGCGCGAAAGCGUGGGGGAUCAAACAGGG